AUUGAACGCUGGCGGCAUGCCUUACACAUGCAAGUCGAACGGCAGCACGGGUGCUUGCACCUGGUGGCGAGUGGCGAACGGGUGAGUAAUACAUCGGAACAUGUCCUGUAGUGGGGGAUAGCCCGGCGAAAGCCGGAUUAAUACCGCAUACGAUCUACGGAUGAAAGCGGGGGACCUUCGGGCCUCGCGCUAUAGGGUUGGCCGAUGGCUGAUUAGCUAGUUGGUGGGGUAAAGGCCUACCAAGGCGACGAUCAGUAGCUGGUCUGAGAGGACGACCAGCCACACUGGGACUGAGACACGGCCCAGACUCCUACGGGAGGCAGCAGUGGGGAAUUUUGGACAAUGGGCGAAAGCCUGAUCCAGCAAUGCCGCGUGUGUGAAGAAGGCCUUCGGGUUGCAAAGCACUUUUGUCCGGAAAGAAAUCCUUGGCCCUAAUACGGUCGGGGGAUGACGGUACCGGAAGAAUAAGCACCGGCUAACUACG
rnacentral:rRNA from 1 species